rnacentral:rRNA from 1 species
AUUGAACGCUGGCGGCAGGCUUAACACAUGCAAGUCGAGCGGGGGAAGGUAGCUUGCUACUGGACCUAGCGGCGGACGGGUGAGUAAUGCUUAGGAAUCUGCCUAUUAGUGGGGGACAACAUCUCGAAAGGGAUGCUAAUACCGCAUACGUCCUACGGGAGAAAGCAGGGGAUCUUCGGACCUUGCGCUAAUAGAUGAGCCUAAGUCGGAUUAGCUAGUUGGUGGGGUAAAGGCCUACCAAGGCGACGAUCUGUAGCGGGUCUGAGAGGAUGAUCCGCCACACUGGGACUGAGACACGGCCCAGACUCCUACGGGAGGCAGCAGUGGGAAUAUUGGACAAUGGGGGGAACCCUGAUCCAGCCAUGCCGCGUGUGUGAAGAAGGCCUUAUGGUUGUAAAGCACUUUAAGCGAGGAGGAGGCUACUCUAGUUAAUACCUAGGGAUAGUGGACGUUACUCGCAGAAUAAGCACCGGCUAACUCUGUGCCAGCCGCCGCAGUAA